AAACUCGUGCUGUCCACCUUUAGGACUAUUUUUGGUGGACGGAGGGAGUAUCAUUCAUUCCUUAAUCGGUUGAACAAAUUAUCACAUUUAAGUUUCAAACUGAACAUCUAGACAUGCAAAUUAUUGACCAGGUAAUUCACAAGAAAUCAAGCACUAGAAAUCAUGAAUCACAAGUUGGAGGGCAAAUUGAUAUCAAUAAAUCAAACACACAAAUUCAAUCAACUACAUACAAACCCUAGAAUCAGAAAGAAAAAAAANAAUAUAGCCCAACAUAAUUAAAUAAAUAAAAGACAUAAUAGAAAAAAGCAAUCAAAAUAAAUAAAAUUGAUAAAACCCGUAAAUAAUCCUGAAUGAACAGCUUGAAUCUUGAAUCUUGCAGAAAAUAAAUCUAAUCUAUAAAAUCAAUAAAGUUCUAAGUCCCUCUUAAAAAAAAGUUCUAAGUCUAAAAAAUGAUAAAUACAAGGAGAAAAGAUGUGUACAAUAGGUCAACAAAAUGACUUAUAUUUAGGAAUAAGGGAUAAAUACAGUACAAAACUCAAAAAUAUUGAUAAAAAAUUUACUAAAAUUCGAAAAAUCGCG
rnacentral:lncRNA from 1 species